rnacentral:rRNA from 1 species
GAUGAACGCUGGCGGCGUGCCUAAUACAUGCAAGUCGAGCGAACAGACGAGGAGCUUGCUCCUCUGACGUUAGCGGCGGACGGGUGAGUAACACGUGGAUAACCUACCUAUAAGACUGGGAUAACUUCGGGAAACCGGAGCUAAUACCGGAUAAUAUAUUGAACCGCAUGGUUCAAUAGUGAAAGACGGUUUUGCUGUCACUUAUAGAUGGAUCCGCGCCGCAUUAGCUAGUUGGUAAGGUAACGGCUUACCAAGGCGACGAUGCGUAGCCGACCUGAGAGGGUGAUCGGCCACACUGGAACUGAGACAUGGUCCAGACUCCUACGGGAGGCAGCAGUAGGGAAUCUUCCGCAAUGGGCGAAAGCCUGACGGAGCAACGCCGCGUGAGUGAUGAAGGUCUUCGGAUCGUAAAACUCUGUUAUUAGGGAAGAACAAAUGUGUAAGUAACUAUGCACGUCUUGACGGUACCUAAUCAGAAAGCCACGGCUAACUACGUG